rnacentral:RNase_P_RNA from 1 species
AGAGUAGGUCAAAUGAUCGCUGCCCCGUGCUUGCCGUUUUUCGGCGGCCGGGGGAGAGGAAAGUCCGAGCUCCAUAGGGCAAGGUGCUGGGUAACGCCCAGUCCCGGUGACGGGAAGGAAAGUGCCACAGAAAGCAGACCGCCUUGGGGAACGUUUGUUUCCCGAGGUAAGG